GCGGGUGGGGGCGGGGAGGGUAAAUUGUUUAGUGUUUCUGUGCUGACUCCACAUAUGAUCCCCAUUAGCUAACAGGGCGUUUGCUAACACAGACACACACACGGUAAGGGGUGAUUUUAAUCCGGUGUUAACCAUAAUGGAUCCAAUCGAGCUGUUGGACAGUAACCGUAGCUACCGCGGACAUCCCAGACACCAAUACUGGCCUGCUCUCCUCCAUUGGGUUCUAUUCUGAUGAGUUAAACAAACAACUAAUAUGUCUGUUCUGUUUUAAUGAUUUCUGUUUGUGAAAAUGUGAUGGCGAUUAUAAGGUCGUAUAGAUUAUUAGGGGUCAGGGGGACAACACACCCUGACUACACCCAUAACAAUUUAGCAUAAUGAGCCACAUAAUCAGAGACGUCAUCAUCAUCAACAGAACUCCCAUUAGGUUAUAUUUAGAUUAAAACUGCACUAAGAAAAUGUUCAUGCUACAAAGCGUUAAUUACAUGAACAAAACUUGCCAGAUUUGCGUCACAGAUACAUUUUCUUUACAGUGAACACGGGUGAUAAUGGCAGUGGUCCCACGUCACCUUCUGAGAUAACAUGGGACGCUUUCCUGACAGACGACUUGUUUGACAGAGAGUGGCAUGUUAGAAGGUAAACAACGUUGUCAUUGAGAAUUCGCCUUCCAGGUCAGGGGUCUGGCCGAAGCACAGCCUGGGCAUGUGUUCUGCUUCACGGCACAGCACAAGUUUCUCGUUGCUUGUGUGACUCUAAAAUUGUAUUUACAUAUUAUGUUAAUGUUAUUUAAAUUAAAUUGUUGUCAUGACAAUUGAUGUAGUCGAAAUAGGUUGGCCCUUCAUUGUAUUGUUUUAAUUCACACACACACACACACACACACACACACACACACACACAUACAAAUGUAAAUCCAACUGCACAAAACUUAAAUACAAAUUUAAAACUCCUAGCUGGGAAGUGUCACUGUCCUUUUGUACUAAAAUUAUGCUAUAUAACUUAUUUCUAUAAUUUCAGACAGUAGUUUUCAAAGUUAACAAGCC
ensembl:lncRNA